CAAAGAGGGUCUAGGAGGCAACAUCUUAAAUCCAUCUGACAUCUUAACAGAGAAUCUUAUAGCUGUAAAUGAAUUAGUCACUACUGACAUUCUAUCUGGAAAUCUCCUUAUUCCAGCCCACAGAUAGAGAGAGACAGAAUGUGAGCAUGGGAAGGAAAGAGAGAGAGGGAGACAUAGAAUCCAAAGCAGGCUCCAGGCUCUGAGCUGUCAGCAUGGAGUCCAAUGCAGAGCUCCAACCCAGAAACACAAGAUCAUGACCUGAGCCGAACUCUGACGCUCAAUCGACUAAACCACCCAGGUACCCCUGAAAAAGUACUUUUUGAUAUUGACAGAAAGGUAUUGUAUUCUAAGUGUUGUUACUUGGUGACUUCACUGAAGAUAUUUCACUUUAGAACUGUGUCAUUUUGAGUUUUUUCUCAUAAUUCGGUAAUGGAUUUUCUGAAACAAAUAUUUUUUGUAUC